UACACUCCUGCGGGAGGCAGCAGUGGGGAAUUUUGGACAAUGGGCGAAAGCCUGAUCCAGCAAUGCCGCGUGAGUGAAGAAGGCCUUCGGGUUGUAAAGCUCUUUUGUCAGGGAAGAAACGGUGAAAGCUAAUAUCUUUUGCUAAUGACGGUACCUGAAGAAUAAGCACCGGCUAACUACGUGCCAGCAGCCGCGGUAAUACGUAGGGUGCAAGCGUUAAUCGGAAUUACUGGGCGUAAAGCGUGCGCAGGCGGUUUUGUAAGUCUGAUGUGAAAUCCCCGGGCUCAACCUGGGAACUGCAUUGAAGACUGCAAGGCUAGAAUCUGGCAGAGGGGGGUAGAAUUCCACGUGUAGCAGUGAAAUGCGUAGAUAUGUGGAGGAACACCGAUGGCGAAGGCAGCCCCCUGGGUCAAGAUUGACGCUCAUGCACGAAAGCGUGGGGAGCAAACAGGAUUAGAUACCCGUGUAGUCCCAUGAU
rnacentral:rRNA from 1 species